rnacentral:lncRNA from 1 species
CUGGACAACAAGGAUGUAUUGAAUUGCAUAAGCCUUCAGCUCUGGUUACAACCAAUCUUUCCAAUAUAACAGAAAAACGCAAAUAGCAGAGUUGCAGUUCAAUAUACACCAGCUUGUAGCAGGGGAGGAAAAUGUUCCACCUCAUUCAUAUCCAAAUUUUAUAUCAGUUGAUGGCUUUAAAUGGACUGAGAAAAAUGAAGAGGUGAAACAUCACUGUGAUGUUAUGUAAUUGGAGCUUGAAGCAUCGUUAACAAAGGUUAACAAGAAUUCCAUCCUCGCAUUUCAUACUGAGGCAGUUCAUGUAGGUCCUAACUGUCUGGAGGAUCGACAUUUAACUGAGAGUGAUCACCAGGACACUGUGAUGGAAAUGCUUCAAAGAACAGCAAGUCCUGAUUUGGUUCAAAAACAACACGCUGUCAAUUCUUACACAAAUCAUGCUGCUGCAAAUUUCCAUAAUACAGAAUUAAUACAAUGUGAGUUUGAUCCACAGGGGGGUGAUUGUGGCAGAUCACAACAUAUUCAAGCUAAUAAACACAUAAGGGAAGCUGCAAUUGGCAAUACCAAUGAAGAUGAUGGAAAGGUCACUAGAGAUAACUUGCAAAUGGCUGACAGUUAUCAUCAAAAUAAGUCAUCAGACACAGCGACGUUGAAUAAAUAUCCAAUUAAUGAUCCAAAUGCAAAGGAUCAAAUUGCUAUCAAAUAUUUACAAGUUAACAUGACGUCCAAUGCCAAUCCUAAGUUCAACCAAUCUUUGGUCACAAUGCCUCAAUCAUUUGAGUCAACUGACGAGCAACAACAAUAUGGGCAACAAUCAAUCUCCAUUGGCAACAACAAAGAAAUAGUUCAAGCAAAUAUGAGGAAGCUUGUCAUCAACUCGAAAUUGUGGAAAGACCAACGAGAGUAUGAUGACGAUGAGGGAUGGGGUGUCGGUUUUGCUGCUUUUUCAUCAGAAGAAGACGAUCAAGAAACUGAUCAGGAUAGUGAAGGAGAAGACUUUGAUGUUCCAAUCAAACAAAAAUUCAAUGGGAAACCUGCAACAUCAAAAUCGACCAAUCUGAAUCGUCGAGCAUCUGCGGCAACUACAGCAAAUCAAAACAGCAAAUUGAAUCAUAACGCUCCAGUUUUUGUUCCAACAAAUACUGCAAAAGCAGUUAGUUCAAAUACAGCAAUACCAAAGAUCGACAAAAUUGUAACAGGAGUUCACGUCCAACCAAAACAACACUCAGCCGAAAAAAAUGUUGUUGAUCGAAACACAACAAAGCUGGAAAAAUUUGGGCAGAAUCAGUUUGUCGCCAAUACCAAAGAUCGACAAACUUGUAACGGGAGUUCACUUCCAACCAAAACAACACUCAGCUGAAAAAAAUGUUUUUGAUCGAAACACAGCAAAGCUGGAAAAAACUGGGCAGAAUCAGUUUGUCGCAACUAAACCAGCCAGUACUUUGGAGGAGAGGAAAUUUGUCGAUGGAACGAGGUUGGAUUCUAGUCACAUUUCAGAGCAGCAGCAAGAGGAUGCAAGUAACUCUUCUUCUGCGAAAUGCAACACAAUAGCAGUUUCACAGGUGGGCAAGCUCCAUAUUGUAACAACUAAUCCUUUAUUCUCUUUAGAAGAAAGACAACUACUGGAUGCGAUGUUACGUACAGAUCCGUUAAAUGUUUUAACUCUUGAUAAUUCCAGCACAAGUCAUGGAAACAUGAGUAGGAACAAAUCGCAAAAAUAAAGGCAAAACAAGGCAAUUUCGGGUAAUGUACAAGCUGAAAAAGCAUUGUUAAUUCAAGGCGAUUUUCAAGAUAUGCCAAACCCAAUAUUCACAAGUAGACAUAUUUAUGAAGAAGGGGAGGAAGAGGAUAUCUUAAAGAAAUGUCAGGCCGACGCUUCAAGAAAUGGUGAUUUGUCACCAUUGCAUAGUGAAAGAAAUAACAAGUCGCGUGCAAGGAAUAGAAGCGGGGACGACAGGGUAAUUGAAGACGCAUUCAUAAGGAGACCCCCCAUGAGAAACGCAAAACAAAAAUAGCUCAAUCAAAAAAUAUCUCCAAAGGCCAAAAAACCAUGAACUUUGAAGUAUUUUUGGAAGAAGUUGUGGAGGAAGACAUCAAUAUACAAAUGGAAGUAUUCACAAAUCUAGAGAAAAGAGAGCACCAUGGUGGUUUCUUCGUCUCUUUAUUUUACCAUCUCGUUAGUCUCAUAAUUUGUAAUAUCAUUACAUAGUACGUUAUAAACUCUAUGAUGAUCAAUAAAUUCUUAGUUCUUGCUUCUUCGUUCUUUUUACAUGCUUGCUAGUAGAUGAGGCUUUUUGUGAUGAUAAAUUCUUAGUUCUUGCUUCUUCGUUCUUUUUACAUGCUUGCUAGUAGAUGAGUCUUUUAUUUGCCUCAACAGAAUUAAUAGGAUAAGGCUUACACUGGUUUUUUUAUAUGGGUAACAACACCGGUGCUACCCUUUAUUUACUUUUCCUAAUUGUUGUAAUUUUCUUUUUGAAUAUUAAUAAAUUCGAGCCCUAGGCGCUUGCCUAGUGGAUUGCCCAAAAAAAACAAAUUAAUGCUCAUCAUGGUAAUAGCACAUAAAAUAUAAUUAGCCUACAUGGUACCACGAAAUUCUAAUUUACUUAGCGAAAUUUUCCAUGGCCUUACAGUCAGUUCAAAGACGGUUAACUUUUCUUUUUGUCUGCUUUUCAACUAUCGUCUUACAUUUAAUCAAUAUUGAAAAUGCCUCAUCUUUUGUUUUCAGAAAAUACACCAAUAUCAUCCUUAAGUAAUCAUCAAUCAAAGUCAUAAAAUACCUGGCACCACUCUUGGAUGGAACUUUGUUUGGACCACAAAGUCUGAAUGUAUAUAAUCUAACUUGUCUCUAGUCUUGUGCUCGGCCUUCUUGCUAAACUUUACCCUUA